AAGGGCACCAUCAAGACGCGUGGAGCAUGUGGCUUAAUUUGACUCAACGCGGGAAAUCUUACCGGGUCCGGACACACUGAGGAUUGACAGGCAAUAUUAAUACUUUGCUUCGGCAUUGUAUUAUGUUAAAUAUGCUAGUCCUUUCAUGAUUAUGUGAUAGGUGGUGCAUGGCCGUUCUUAGUUCGUGGAGUGAUCUGUCUGCUUAAUUGCGUUUCACUAAGGGCCUAUAAAUUUACGUAUGUUGUAUCGCACUUCGACCCCUUUCUUUAAUUAGAAAGCGCGUGUCUUAGUUUCGCUUUGCUCAUACAAUUAGGUCCUGAAAGCAACGAACGUGACCGCAACCUCUUGUUGCCUUUAUACCAAACAUGUUUAUUCAUUUUUUAAUGUUCAUUCAUGAAAAAAGGCUUUUUAAACUAGAGGGACCGCUGUUACUUUCUUAAACCAGAGGAAGGUUGCGGCAAUAACAGGUCUGUGAUGCCCUUAGAUGUUCCGGGCUGCACACGUGCUACAAUGAUUAUUGCAGUGAGCAUCUCAUUUUUACACACCGCAUGCGCGAGUCCAUUUAUUCACCUUCGGGUGUUUUAAAUGUGUACCUCUGCGCGCGGUAAAGCCUGCUUCGAAAGUAAGUGGGUAAUCAAUUAGAAGUAAUGAUUUCCUUUUUUAGCACACAUAUAUACGGCGUCUAUGCCCGGGUUACCUUGUUGUAGCUUUUGUGUGUAUAGAUGUUUUUUCCGUAUGUGCGAUUGUCAAUUCAUGGUGGGGACAGACCAUUGUUAAUUGUUGGUCUCGGUCUUAACUAGGAAUGCCUUGUACGGGUCUUUGGUUCAACAAACCACCCGGAAUACGUCCCUGCCCUUUGUACACACCGCCCGUCGCUCUUACCGAUGGACUUCUCUGUGAGUUUGAGGGACUGGGAACGCAGGAAUUUAUUUCUGCACACCUAUGGAAACUUAAACGAACAGUGUGGUCUAAAGGAAAGAGAAGUCGUAACAAGGCAUCGGUAGGUGAACCUGCAGAAGGAUCA
rnacentral:rRNA from 1 species